UACGAAGGGGGCUAGCGUUGUUCGGAAUUACUGGGCGUAAAGCGCACGUAGGCGGAUUGUUAAGUUAGGGGUGAAAUCCCGGGGCUCAACCCCGGAACUGCCUUUAAUACUGGCAAUCUCGAGUCCGAGAGAGGUGAGUGGAAUUCCCGGUGUAGAGGUGAAAUUCGUAGAUAUCGGGAGGAAUACCAGUGGCGAAGGCGCUGAACUGGACGGUAACUGACGCUGAGGUGCGAAAGCGUGGGUAGCAAACAGG
rnacentral:rRNA from 1 species